rnacentral:rRNA from 1 species
UACGUAGGUGGCAAGCGUUGUCCGGAAUUACUGGGUGUAAAGCGCGUGUAGGCGGCAGACCAAGUCGGCGGUGAAAGCGCCCGGCUCAACUGGGCGAGGUCCGUGGAAACUGGUCAGCUGGAGGACGGUAGAGGCGAGUGGAAUUCCCGGUGUAGUGGUGAAAUGCGUAGAGAUCGGGAGGAACACCAGUGGCGAAGGCGACUAUCUGGGCUGCAACUGACGCUGAGGCGCGAAGGCUAGGGUAGCAAACAGG